rnacentral:rRNA from 1 species
AUUGAACGCUGGCGGCAGGCCUAACACAUGCAAGUCGAGCGCGCGGCGGCCGGGUGAGUAAUGCCUGGAAAUUGCGCAGUCGAGGGGGAUAACAGUUGAAAACGACUUCUAAUACCGUAUAAGCUUGGCUUGCCCAGGUGGGAUUAGCUAGUUGGUGAGGUAAUGGUGCCCCAAGGCGACUCUCCCUAGCUGGUCUGAGAGGAUGAUCAGCAACACUGGAAUUGAGACACGGUCCAGACUCCUACGGGAGGCAGCAGUGGGGAAUAUUGGACAAUGGGGGAAACGCUGAUGCAGCCAUGCCGCGUGUGUGAAGAAGGCCUUCGGGUUGGAAAGCACUUUCAGCGAUGAGGCGUUACUCUCAGAAGAAGCACCGGCUAACUCCGUGCCAGCAGCCGCGGUAAUUC